AAGCUGCCAGGGCAGGAGAGGCUGCUGGAAGAGGUGGAGAAGCUGUUAGAACAGGAGAGGCGGCAGGAGGAGCAGGAGAGGCUGCUGGAGAGGGAGAGGCUGCUGGACGAGGUGGAGGAGCUCCUGGAGCAGGAGAGGCUUCGGCAACAGGAUGAGAGGCUGUGGCAGCAGGAGACUCUGCGGGAGCUGGAGAGGCUGCGGGAGCUGGAGAGGAUGCUGGAGCUGGGGUGGGAAGCCCUGUACGAGCAGCGGGCCGAGCCACGCAGCGGCUUCGAGGAGCUGAACAACGAGAACAAGAGCACACUGCAGUUGGAGCAGCAAGUAAAGGAGCUGGAGAAGUCGGGUGGAGCUGAAGAGCCAAGAGGCUCCGAGUCUGCAGCAGCAGCCAGACCAGUACCUGGAGCCCCAGUCCCACAAGGAGCUUGGAUGUGCGGACAAGCAGGGUGGACUCCCCAGGAGCACCCAGGCUUGAGUGGAGAAGCUGUUGGUACAGGAGAGGCGGCAGGAGGAGCAGAAGAGGCUGCAUGCCAUUCUUUUCGGGCUGCGGAGAACAGGGAGCUAAACAUCACCAUCAUCUAAGAGCGGGUCAAGAAAUUGAAAAAAAAAAAAAACAAAACAUUUAAGGGGUUAAUAUCCUACACAAUUCAUUUACUUCAUUUGAAUGUUAGAGCCACUUAUGUUUAUUUGUGUUUCUAAUUUAUAGUUUAAAUUUAUUUGUGUUUCUAAUUUAUAAUUUAAAUUUAUUUGUGUUUCUAAUUUAUAGUUUAAAUUUAUUUGUGUUUCUAAUUUAUAAUUUAAAUUUAUUUGUAAAAAGUUAAAUGAGAGUGGGUCUUUCUCUCAUGUUCACUCUGGCAUCUUUUAGCAUUUUUUUAAUUUGAUAAUUAUAGGACGUUAGCAUGCAUAUCGAGUUUGCCCUUAUGUGGUGGGAGUUCAAACACACAAAGACCCACUGUAUGCACACAACUGUUCUUGCUGGUUUGGGAUAGGCUGCCAUGCUUUUUUAAUGUUAGUACAGCCUGUAUAUUCAUUACGGAAUUCAGAUAAAAUUUCCUUAUGUUCUGCUGUUAUGUUUGAUCGAAUCCUAAUCACAGUGAGCUCUUCAUUAGCUCAAUAUGUGGUUUGCCCUCAAGUGCGCGGUCUAUUACUUUGUAAUAUGCCACUGUGAGUACUGACAUUUACAGUUGUUUAAAGGUGGAGCACUGGAAACAGCCUUUCCCCCUUUUUCUGUGUAUUGGGGAUGGGAGUAAUAACAUUUUGGGGAGGUUUUUAAAUCUCCCAGAAGAGGAAAGUGGCCUGCUUUGGCAGGUGUGUGCAGGAUAGAAUAUGUUUCAUUUGUUCUGGUGCCAAGAAUGAGCGCUGUACUACGGUAGUUCCCUUAGGAUUUGUAUGUGCUCUGGGCUCAUGAAGAUACUGCCUCAUGAGCUGUGGCAGUUGUACUCUUUUUUGAUGACCUGAAAAGGGAUUAUUUCUGAGGAAUGAAAGGCUCCCAUCAUGACUGUGGAUGUGGAAAACCUUUUCUAGCUGAGAGCAUUUAUAUCUACAAUACAUUUUAAAGUCAGAGUUCAUGUUCCCUGUUUUAAUCACAUGACUACAUGUCCCAGUACACAAAAGGGCACUGGUUGGCGUUCUCCUUAAUGUAUUUAGUAAAGAUCAGAAGAAAUCCUUUAAGAGUUUAAAUGCCCCUGGAACAGGCAUAUACAGGCUCUAGUCAAGAAUGAAUUCGAGUGAAGGAAAGCUGUGUGACACCUGGCAUUCCUCUGUGUUCAUGGAGCUUAUUUGAGGCUAGAAGAUGGAUUUUACCAUCUAGACCUCUCUGGCUAAUAGCUAGUCUUCAACCAUCUGACAUAGGAAUUUACUUCUUUUCCUUGAAUGGAGAACACUUUAAAAAUAAUAACAAACAUUAUUAUAAACUAAUAUAUGUGAGAGUACUUAGUUGAAACAAAAAGGAGUUUUAGUAGACAGUAUUAUACUACAUUUGAAAAUCAAGGAGCAGUUUAUGCAACGUAAAAUGUUUACAAACUGCAGCGCAAUCUACUGUUUGUGACUGUCAAAGUGUCAUGAGGAAAGUGUCUAUACAAUCACAGAGUUAUAUUUCCUCACAAAGUUCUUUACGAAGAGUGAAAUAUGUUUUUAUACCUCUCAGUUUCAGUUAGAGGCAUAUUUUGUGUAAUAUUUAUGGCUUAAAAUGGACUAAAGGUCCUGUUCUUGCCUUGUCUGAACUUGCCGCUUUUGCAUUCUUUGAGUUCAGUUUAAAGACACUUACUUUAACUCCAUUUUAAACCCUCGGGCUAGAAAUCGUACCACUGUUAAUUAGCCACGUUAUUUGGUCUAACAGUUUUUGUUUAUCAUUCUGAAACUGAGCUUAUCUAAUACAUUGAUAAAUUAUUUCAAAGGUAUUUUUAUAGUUCAAAUCGCUUCACUUUUACCCUGACACGUAUAAAUGACUAGGAAUGACCUUCAGAUAGCGUUUAGCAACUGUAACCAAUCUGACAAUAAUGUGUUCAUCAGGUACCUGUGGAUUAAAUCACAUACUGGCAUAUUUAAGCUGAAUGUCAGUCUGAAAAAUAAAUGUACUAUAUUAACUCA
rnacentral:lncRNA from 1 species